GCUCCUUAUUAGUUUUUAAAAGAGUCACCUAUAAAAUUGGUAAUUUUGACCUCUUCCAAAAGAAAAAAGAAAGAAAGGCAGCCCGGUGCACUAAGCUCCCACUAUGCGUGGUGUCCAGGGAAGGGCCAUACCACAAAGGUCUAUUGUACGCAUCUUUACCCAACAUUUCUGCAAGGGUCUAUUCUAUUUUUCACCUCCACUCCUUAAUUUAGUGCUAAACUGUUAUCAUUCUUCUCUUUCUCAAAAAAAAACUGUUAUCAUUCUUCUGUAAUCUUUUUUAUAUAUAUAUAUAUAUAUAUUUAGGAAUUCUACUUGGCAAAAGAUAUUUAUACCAUUGCUGAUGUUUCUUUAUCAGUAAAAUGUUUUGCAGCCUUUUUCAUAUUAACAUAGAAUUGCAGCUCCGAUAGUUAUCUUUUGACCUCUACAGGAAAAAGGCCACCCACUUCCUAAGUUUGGUGAGUGGGAUGUUAAUGACCCAGCUUCUGCUGAGGGUUACACGGUCAUCUUUAACAAAGCUCGAAAUGAGAAGAGAAGUGGUGGCAAUACAAACUCUCCACCAAAGGGUGACCCUACAUAUAAGCAUGGAGCAACUCUUGGAAAGCCUCAAUCAGUAAGUUGUGGGCCUUGUCUAUGAGUCUUUGUCUAGCAGUGUGUGCUAGACAUGCAUUUGUUUAAGUAUUUUAUGCCUCAGUUUUGAUGGAUGAGGAAAUUGUUUCACAAAGUUUAUACAAAUGUUAACAUGUUGUGCUAUUAGAUUAUCACUGAAAGCGUGAUGUUUUAUCUGCUGUUAGAUUAUUUGAAAGCAUGAGCUUUUAAAUCUUAUGUCCUAACAACUAACUGGCACGCGAAAUAUCAUGUCAUUUCCCUUGUAAAGUAUGUGCAUAAAGCAACAUAGUCAUUUUCUGAAACAAAAAUGAUGAACAUUUGUUUGGGUCCUUGGCAUUUUAAAUUGAUAAUGUGUGGAUUAUGUUUUAUUGUUGCAUUCUAAGCUUUGCAUUUUUAUUGUGAGAAAUAUAUAUGGGAAAAAUAUUAUUGAAUUGUUGUUCUAAUAAUUACAUAGAGAACCCUAUUUAUAGACACUAUAUAAUACAAUUCCUUACCAAAUAGGAGACCACAAACUAUUCCUAGUUUGUGUAGGAUUGUGUUUUCCUAUUCUAUUCUAACACUCCCCCUCAAGCUGGUGCAUACAAAUUAUAUGUACCUAGCUUGUUACAAAUGUAAUUAAUACGAGGACCGGUAAGAGACUUGGUGAAGAUAUCUGCAAGUUGAUCAUUUGACUUCACAAAUUUGGUAACAAUAUCUCCUGAGAGUAUCUUUUCUCUUACAAAGUGACAAUCAAUCUCAAUGUGCUUAGUCCUCUCAUGAAACACUGGAUUUGAUGCGAUAUGAAGGGCCGCUUGACUAUCACACACAAGUUCCAUAUGACCGGUUUCUCCAAACUUCAGUUCUCCAAGCAACUGUUUGAUCCAAACUAGCUCACAAGUUGCUACAGCCAUUGCUCGAUAUUCUGCUUCUGCACUGGAUCGAGCAACCACACUUUGUUUCUUACUCUUCCAUGACACCAAAUUACCUCCAACUAAAACACAAUAUCCGGAUGUAGAACGUCUAUCAAAGGGUGAUCCUGCCCAAUCAGCGUCUAUAUAUCCGGUGACAUGCUCAUGGCCUUGAUCCUCGAAGAGUAGUCCUUUACCAGGAGCUGACUAUACGAACAACUGUAUCCCAAUGACUAUCACAAAGAGAAGUCAUAAACUGACUUACAACACUCACAGGAAAAGAGAUGUCCGGUCUAGUCACAGUGAGGUAAUUCAACUUUCCAACCAACCAGUUAUACCUUUCAGGAUUACUGAGUUGCUCCCCCUGUCCUGGAAGGAGUUUAACAUUCGGAUCCAUAGGAGUGUCAAUGAGUUUACAUCCCAUCAUUCCUGUCUCCUCAAGAAUGUCUAAAGCAUACUUGCGUUGAGAAAUAACAAUACCUAAUCUAGACUGAGCAACCUCAAUACCAAGAAAAUACUUCAAUCUGCCAAGGUCUUUAGUUUGGAAAUGCUGAAAGAGAUACUGCUUCAAAUUAGCGAUACCAACUUGAUCAUUGCCGGUGAUAACGAUAUCAUCAACGUAAACAACCAAAUAAAUACACAGAUUUGGUGUUGGUUGCCGAUAAAACAUAGAGUGAUCAACGCCACUAUGAGUCAUGCCAAACUUCUGAAUUACUGUGCUGAACCAAACCAAGCUCGAGGAGACUGUUUCAGACCAUAUAGUGACCGACGCAAUCGACAUACAAGGCUUCUAGACUCCCCCUGAGCAACAAAACCAGUUGGUUGCUCCAUAUAGACUUCUUCCUCAAGAUCACCAUGCAGAAAAACAUUCUUAAUGUCCAACUGAUGAAGAGGCCAAUGACGAACGGCAGCCAUAGAUAGAAAAAGACGGACUGAUGCUAUAGUAUGGAAUGUGGAACUUGGUUCGAAAUAGAAGAUGAGGGCAUUCUAUUAAUUAAAUAACAAGAUGAAAGGACUGCAUCACCCAAAAACGCAGCGGAACAUGGGAUUCAAUGAGGAGAGUGCGAGCAGUCUCAAUGAGAUGCCUAUUCUUUCUUUCCGCUACACCAUUUUGUUGAGGAGUGUAUGGACAAGAAGUUUGGUGAAUAAUUCCUUGGUGAGACAUAAACUUCUGAAACUGGGAUGAUAAGUAUUCUAAGGCAUUAUCACUACGAAAAGUACGAAUAGAAAUACCAAACUGAUUUUUUAUUCAGCAAAGAAACUUUUGAAUAUAGAAAAUAACUCAGAACGAUCUUUCAUUAAGAAAACCCAAGUACAUCUCGAAUAAUCAUCAAUGAAACUAACAAAAUAAUGAAAUCCUAAUGUGGAACUGACUCUACUAGGACCCCAAACAUCAGAAUGAACUAAUGAAAAAAUAGACUCUGAACGACCCUCAGUACCACGUGAAAAUGUGGCACGAGUGUGUUUCCCAAGUUGACACGACUCACAAUCUAAUUUGGACAAACUAGAUAAACUAGGCACCAUCUGUUGCAAUUUAUAUAGACUCGGAUGUCCCAAACGUUUGUGAAUGAGGUCGGAGGAUCUGUAACAGAGCAUGCUGUGAAGGAAUUUGAAGAGGUAAGAUAGCAAAGGCCUUAUGAUUCAUGUCUUGUGCCAAUCAUAUGUCUCGUACUGCGGUCCUGCAUGAGAAAAAAAACAUCAAAAAAGGUUAUGCCACAAUGUAGGGCACGUGUCAAACGACUAACAGAUGCCAGAUUAAAAGGGGAACCAGGGACAUAAAGAACAGAGUCUAGAGUGACAGAAGAUAAGGGUGUGGCUUUUCCAACCCCUUUUGGUUUUGUUUGUAUCCCAUUGGCCAAAGUAAUAGCAGGAAGAGAUGUAACAGGAUCAUAACUGGGUGGUGGACCAUGCAAAUUAUGACAUAUGUCACGAGUGUGUCCAGACUUAUGACAAUAACUACACUUGGAUCGAGGUUUUCCAAGACGACCUCCUCCUCGUCGAUUCUCCAUAGAUUGAUAUACUCGUUUUUCUAUGGUUUGAGAUGCGAGAGCAGAGGAAUCAAAGGUCGGUGAUGAAACUACUUUGUGGCUGGGAGGCGCGGCAAUACGAAGUAGACGAGAGAAUAAUUCAUCAACUGUUGGAAUUGUAGGACUAGCUAAAAUCUGAUCACGCACUGAAUCAUGGUCAGUAGAGAGUCCAGCAAGUGUAAGAACUAGAAACAACGUCUGUCGGUGUUCUUGUUGUUUGUCCACAUUUGUAGUGAUUGGCAUCAACGUAUCAAAUUCCUCCAUGACUGAUUGUACCUGACCCAAGUAAGUAGAUAUAUCAGAUUCUUGUUUCUUUAAGCUAGUCAUUCUAGAUAUCACAUCAUAGAAUCGAGAUAUAUCAUUAGUAUAUAAAACUCGAGCCUUUUCCCAAACUGAAUAACAUGUUUGGGAUGAGCGAAACAAGGGCAUCAACUUGGAAUCGAUAGAUUGCCAUAGGAGACUACAUAAUUGAGCAUCAACCUUCUCCCAUUGUGCUUUGACGUUAUUAUCUGUCUCACUAGCCUUUGCCUUUUCAUCUACCACACAAGUAUUGUUGGUUAAGUGAUCAUGAACGCCUUGCCCCUUGCACCAUAACUCAACCGAGGAAGCCCAGGCAAAAUAGUUUGAGCUUCCCAUUAAUGGUUCUGAAGUGAUCAUAGCACUUGAACUACCUAUAUUCUUGGAGCCAAAAAUAUCAAUCCCUAAAGACAUAUUAUGAAUUUAGAUUGAGGAAAAAAUAAAAAAAUAAAAUAAGGCUGGUCAGAAUCUGAAAAAAAAAGGGUGCAGUCGCUGGAAACUAGGUCUGACUGCCCGAAACUGGUCGGAAUAAGAAAAUAAAUAUACAGUCUGCCUCGAAAUUGAGAGGCGACCUCAAUGAAAAAAAAAUUGGUCGAAAAAAUUGGCCGGAAAGUGUCGCACGCGCCGGCGCGUGAUGCGCGUGGUGACGCGACCCUGGAACUCCUGGCGGCGCGUGAGGGCGCGUGGCUCGGUGAAACUCAGAGGAGCUCACUGGGGUUUGCUCGCCUGAGUGUUCCACACCUCAUGGUGGUAUGGGUUGUCGCACUACACUUGUAAAACGAGACAACAAUGCAAACCAGCCGUUGACAGUCACCGGAUUCUGACNNNNNNNNNNNNNNNNNNNNNNNUUUUUCUUUUUUUUUUUUUUUUUUUUUUUCACCAAUGCUCUGAUACCAUGUGAGAAAUAUAUAUGGGAAAAAUAUUAUUGAAUUGUUGUUCUAAUAAUUACAUAGAGAACCCUAUUUAUAGACACUAUAUAAUACAAUUCCUUACCAAAUAGGAGACCACAAACUAUUCGUAGUUUGUGUAGGAUUGUGUUUUCCUAUUCUAUUCUAACAUUUAUGAUUUGCAUCAUAACGUGUUUGCGUUUUUAUAAUUUGCAUUAUUGUUCUUUUCUUUUUGGUUUCCUGAUUUCCUUCUCAAUGUAUCAAUUUUUUUAUUGGCACCCCAUCCUUUACAAAAAAUCAUAAAAUAAAUCAUAUGUGAAGGAAGGGUCUGGACAUGAAUAAUAUUUGUCCACGCCAGCAGAGCAACUUCUAGGCGUAAUUGCUUGAGUACUUGCUGGCUAGUUGCUCGGACUCUCCAAAAAUGUUGCCGUACCCGUGUCAGAUCCUUCAAAAAUACGCUAUUUUUUGAGGAUCUGACACGCACCUCUCGACAUUUUUUAAGAGUCUGUGCAACAUAGCUUGCUGGCUUUACGAGUUUGUCUCUUGCGUGCCUUUUUACUAAUUACUCCCUCUGUUUAAAAAAGAAUGACCCAAUUUCCUUUUUUGGUAAUACUUUAACUUCAACUUUUCACUUGUUAUGUUUAAGGCCACAAGUUUAAAGGACAUUUUUCAAUUACAUAUAUGCUCUUUUUUGUGUCUUUCACUGUCAAUUAGAAUUGAUUAUUUCUUUUAGUUAUGGUGCCAAAGACUAUAGCCAUUAGUAAGUUUAGUAUUUUUCAUGUUAUCGUUGGGGUAGUAUUGGACUCUUGUUCACCUUUUGUUCGUGCAAUUGUCUCCAAUUCCAAAUAUUCUUUUUUUUGUGGCUAGUCAACAGUGUAGCUUUUGGAAAAGUAAGUCGCUAUUACGAAACAAGCCAAAAGUCUUUUUUUGCUCACUUGGAUUACCAUAGUCAGAUCGACGUGCCACUAACCUGUGUUGUUGUCUGCAAGCAGGAUAAGUACCUUACCCUUUGUUGGACAGAUGACUGAUGCCUAUGCCCCCUUGACAAAUGAAUUAUUUCCUUCAUAGUGAUAUAAUGGUUUGAAAUUGUAUUACUUUUAUUUUGGCCCAUCACAAAUGUAUCAUAUGAUGUUGCAAAGGAUAGGGUGUUAAUUAGAAAAUUGAACACAUCGUAAGGAGCAAAUCAUGGAACUAGUAAAGGGUAUUUCGCACAUUAAGAAAUACUGCAUACAUUGGGAGGCAAAUUGGAAAAAACAAUGGAUGGAGUGCAACUCAUAAAAUGAAACAUUAUCGGUACAAAAUGUAAAGAACUAACGUUCGUUAGUGUAUCUUCUAAUUAUUAUAUGAUGGCUUUGUAUGCAGUUACACUAUCGCUUCUAUAAGAGGCUUCUUAGAUGUGAGCAUUACAGUUUGAGCAGUGUUUUGCCUUUGCUUGCUUUCUGUAUUAUGAAUCCUAGUUUGAUUUUGAUACUGAUGCUAACAUUGGAAUUUUGUUGUACUACUGAAUUUAAAUGUAAGAUAAACAACAUGCAUAUAGCAUCUACAUAGUUGGUGCACGCUCACGUAUAUAAGCUGCUCUUGCUCGAGAAAUUUCUCAUAAGUGGGCAAAUAGGAAACUAUCUCAUUGGCCCUUCAGUUAUGCAUUAUCCAAGAACUGAUUGUGUUCAUCAAUUCUAUACAUAGGAGGUUCACAUUAUAUUUAUGUGCUUUUAGUCCUGGGAGUAGCUGUUAGUUUUGCCAAUUGAUAAUCUUUUCGAUCAUCGGAUUAGAUUCAUGAAUUCCAUAUAAUAACCUCUGUGUAUGCAAUUGCUUUUCAGAAAAAAUGGUUCUGCUGUAUACAGUCUGCUGCUGCAGAAUCGUGAUCUCUCUUUGCUUCUACCCGCGGCAUUGGAGAGUGUUUGAUCUGAAAUAUUAUGUCACAAAUGUUCCUCAAGUUCAUAGUUGUACUGGAAUUUGUUCUGUUAUGUUGUAGAAUUUAAAAAACUUUCGCCAUCGGAAGAUACUUUGCUACCGGUUUAUUUAUUUUUUGAUCUUGAUUUUAUUAUUGUUGCCUUGAGUCAGUUUCUUCCCAUCUUCUUUCCAGUGCUAGGGCUGAGAUUGCUUAAUUGUGAUUUCUUCUCUUAUGUCCAUACUAGUGUCAUUUGGCACCAACAUUAAAAAAAUAAAUUUGUAAAUAUUUUUAAUUUUUUUCGUGCUCUUUAUUUGUGUUUUUGUGAAAUUAGUUGAACACUUUUUGAGGACUUAAAUAUUCUGCCCAUGGUUGUGCCCUCAAGUGACUUUAAUAGUCUCAUUGCUAACACAAAGAGGAAGGGGGACAAGAGAUCCCCUAGUUUUUUUUUAUGACAAGGAAAAUUCGCAGCCGCUAUUCUUUGAGUGUGCACAGGGUAAAACUUCCGCUCCCUCCGCUACUAUGCAAUAGCUUGUAAACCACAUAGGAGAAGUGACGAGAUGUACUUGUCUCAAGCCUUUCUUGGCAUUAAAGGGCUUUGUAGGUUCAUUCACCAUCAGAGAGUAUGCUAUUGUCAUCAAACAGGUCAUCACUUAUUUAAGAAACACCAUGAGAUAAUCAAGUAAUGCAAUAAUUUGCUCAAUAAACACCCAAUUUACUGAGUCAUAAGCCCUUUGUAUAUAUACUUUAUCAUGCACCUAGGUGAUAAUCCUUUUUUCCCGUAGCCUUUAACAAGCUUAUAGCUCAUAAUAUUGUUGUCCAGAGUCAAGUCUUCAAGGAAUUAACAAAACUACUUUAAGAGCCAGAAGAAGUGUUUCUAUAUAUAAAUACAAAAGUUCUCUUUAUUUUAUUAUCAAUAAAGGAGAAAAUUCCGAUUUAAAAUGUACUUAAAGCUACAAAUAUUCUUCUAUUUUUCAUUCACACCUCCACCUUAACUCCAACAGUCAACAAACAUAUAUUUGAUCGAACUUAUGUACAACUUCUACAAAACAUUACUUUCAUUCGAUAAUAACUUCUUAUGUGUGCGACAAUAAAAAGGAGGAGGUUACAAUUUUUAAGAAAUAAGGCAAAAACUUCAACACAUGAAAUUAGUUGUACCAUUGCCAGUGUUCCCUUAAACUCAUGUUUAACUUAUGUAUUAUAGACAUAUAAAAAUAAGAAAUUAUGCUCUAAUAUUAUAAAAUUUGCAGAAUUGAACUAGGUCGAACAUUACAUUUCAAAUUCAUUAAUGGUAAUUCUUCAUAUGCUUAAUGUAAUAACUAUCAAUCAAAUAAGCUCAUCAUACAUAAAUGAACUUGUAUUUUUUUCUUUAAUUUUUAUACAAUUGAUCGCACACUUAUUAUAGUACUAGAUAUAGGAAUCUGUGUCAGCACGACUUCGCAUAAGUACCCCUAGACUAAGAUCGAAAUCUCAGAGACACAUCUAAACUUAACUAAGUUUCUAUUACCCCUCCCCCCGACCCAUUUUAAAUUAGUUUGGGGGUAAUAAGACCAUAGUUAAGUUUAGGUGUGUCUCGGAGAUUUCGGUCAUAGUCUAGGGGGUAUUUGUGCAUUAUCUCUACUUCUUUUGUUUCAAUUUAUGUGAUACAAAGUCCAUUUGGAGAGUCAUUCAAAUACUUAUAUAAUUUUAAAAUAUUUUAAUUUGUUUAUUAUUGUGAUUUAUAGUAUUUCUUUACGUAGUUUUCAAAUAGUAUAUAUUAAACCCCCCUCCCCCCCCCGGUUCCAAUUUAUGUGACACAAAUAAUCAAUCAAUUUUGUAUGUCUUUUAAUAUUUAAAGUCAUUAAUUAUAACUAUGAUUUAUAGUAUUUUUUUAAACAUAAUUUUCAAAUGUAUAACAGACUAAAAAAGCAAGAUAAACAAAUUAAUAUGAUGUAGAAAUUUCACAAAUAUCCUGGACUAAAUGUGAAGAAGAUCGAAGUGCCUUCUUUUGAUAUAGUAGUAAUUUAAAAAGGUUUAUUCUAAUAAGCAUGGAUGGAAAAUUAGUACUCCUUUUGUUUAAAAAAGGAAGGGAAAAAGGAUAAAUAUAUUCCCGUACUAUCAUAAAUAAUAUGUCAAUAUUCUCCGUUAUAUUUUAAGGUUGUAUAUAUCCUUACCGUCAAUAUUUUGGAUCGUCUAUACCCUUAAAACUGACAGAUUAACACAUAACAUCAUCUAAAUAAUUUACCUUAUUUUAUUUAUUCAAAAAAUUGAAAACCCACCAAUUUUUCAUAAUUUACCCACUCAUGACCCAAAUUAAAAUAUCAUGACAUUUAAAAUUACAAAUAAAAACAUAGCUUAUCAUCUCCAUUAGAAAUCAAAUAAAAGGAAAAAUGUUCUUCAAUUCAUUUUCCAAAUCUCACAAACAAAAUCCAGAAACAUAUUAUUUCAAUCAAAAUCAAGAAAUCAAUUUCAUUAUUUUUUGUUCAAAUCAAAUUAUUAUUGUUGAAAGGGGUGGGAAACAAUAUCACCAUUGAUGGACAAAAAUUCAAGCUUAAAAAUGGAUCGACAAUCAAAUAAAAAAUUUCAAACUCAAAUUGAUUUGUUAUUAUUAAAAGGGGUUGAGAAAAUACUACCAUUAUUGAUGGACAAUGUUUCAAGCUUUAAAGUGGGUCUACAAUCAAAUCGAAAAUUUCAAGCUCAAAUCCAUUUGUUAUUGUUGAAAGGGGUUGAGAAAAUACUACCACCAUUGAUGGACAAAGCUUCAAGCUUUAAAGUGGGUCUACAAUCAAAUCGAAAAUUUCAAGCUCAAAUCGAUUUGUUAUUAUUGAAAAGGGUUGAAAAUAUUCUUGGUGUACAAAACACCCAAUAACCUAGAUUCCUACUAUGCUAAAUGAAGAUGAAGUUUUUGUUUUAUUGGUUAGCAAGCAUAAAAUCUACCUAUUUAAAGAACUAGAAGCGAUGAAUUCAAUAGUACUAUCCAACAUAAUUUGCGUAGAUCAAAUACAUGACAAGGAGGAUCAUAUAAGGUAGUUCAUGAGGUGAAGAUUGUUCGAGUUCAUAUAAGCAAGUUACCCGUCCGAUCCCAAUCAUGUGUACUCUAACCCACUUUAUCACCCUCCUUCAUGCCCAAUCUCAACUAUACUGAGAGUCCAAACAUGGAUGGACCCGACUCUGAUACCAUAUAAAGAUAUGACAUUUGAGUAUAACUCAACCUCAAAAGCUAGUUCAUGAUCACGAGGGGAGGAUUGUAAAGUCCAUAUAAGCAAAGCACUCAUCCAUUCUCCAACCAACGUGUGAGACUCUAACCUACUUUAACAUUUAGAAAGGGAUUAGGGUCAAUGAUAAGAAAAUUAUAACUUGAUACUCAUUUAGAGACCACUAUUACAUCAUACUCCAAUACCUCUGUCCCUAAUUACUUGUCCACUUUUGAAUUGACAUACCAAUUAAGAAAUUAAUAAUUGACAUAGUGAGUUUACCAUUUUACCCUUAUUAAUUAUGAAGUGGAUGAAUUAAAAACUUAAUAUUUUCAAGAAGUCCUACCUUUUUCAAAGUAAUUAAUUGAGGGUAUAAUAGGUAAAUUUUUUUGUCCUUUCUUGAUUUGUCAAAAUGGACAAGUAAUUAGGAACAACUAAAAAGGAAAAUGUGGGCAAGUAAUUAGGGAUAGAGAGAGUAUUAAUUAAGCAAUACGUAAUUAUUAUUAUUGAAUAGGUAACAUAAGCAAUAAGUAAACACGAAUACAACAACUAUAACAUAUGCAAUGUAAUCUCACAUUGAGAAGGGUAGCGUGUACAGAGACCUUACCCUACCUUGUGAUUUGUGAAAGCAGAAAGACUAUUUCCAAAAGAAGACCCUCAGGUUGGGCUGUUUAUAGCAAUGAAUGAACGAUCAAAUGAACAUCGAUCCAAAUACACAAAUUUAUGAAAUAUUGUCAAGGUUAUCUUCUUCACGUUUGAUGUUAUAUUCAGAGCUUUGUUGAACACUUGAUGAUGAUGUAUGAGAGUUGAUAGACGUCGCGUUAACACAGUAUAGAGAUCAUUCUGUUCAAUUAUCAUUUCUCCCAUUUGUAGUUGAUCGUUUUCUUGAUCAAGAUCAUGAGCCCAAGAACGUAUAUUAUAUUUAGUGAAUCCUUCCAAUGCAUUCACGACUUCUCUCAUGGUAGGUCUUUCUUCACCUUUUAUAUUAAGACAUCUAACGACAAGCUCACCCAUAGCAUUAAGUUGAUCUAAAGAGCCUUCUUUCAAAACCCUAUGAUGGAGAAUUUGAAACAAUCGAUUCUCCUUCAUAGAAGCUAUGAAAUAUGCGGCUAAGCUUUUCUCUUUGUUGGGUAAAGUGAGAUCAAUAACUUUUCAUCCUGUUAACAACUCUGCAAGUACUACACCAAAACUAUAAACAUCAUUCUUAUCUGACAAUCCCAUUUGUAUAGCUUUAGGGUGUAGAUAACCCGGUAUAAUUAGUGAACUCAUGUCAGCUUGAUCAAAAGGUCUUAACCUGGAUGCUCCGAAAUCAACAAUUUUUGUUGUAUAAUAAUCAUCUAAUAGAAUAUUAGCGGAUUUGAUCUCUAUGUAAGAUAGGUAUAGAAGCUGCAUAGUGUAGAUAACUAAAAGCAUCUGCUGAUUCAACGGCUAUUCUUAACUGAUUUUGGAAAGAAAGCCAAGUCAUUUCUCCGUUAUUGGUAUGUAUAUGAUGGUCAAGUGUACCAUGAGAUAUGUAUUCGUAGACUAAUAAAGGAACUUCGGUCUCCAAACAACACCCCAACAAUUUCACCACAUUCUUGUGGUUAAUCUGAGUUAGUAUUACGACUUCAUUUAUAAACUCUUCUAUUUUGAUUUCUUGAUUGCAACUACGCGUUGAUCUGGUAGAACACCUUUGUAAACUACACCAUUUCCACCUACUCCAAGAAUCCCAUCUUUUGAGAAAUUGUUUGUGGUUUUUUCAAGCUCUUCUGUCGUAAACACUUUGUUUAAAUUGGAUGACAUUUGCUGUUUUAAUAACAUACCACCAUUUUUUUCGAAGAAUUUUUCUUCUUUUUAAACUGAAAUAUAUCCAUGUAACACUAACCAGUAUUGACAACAAUCCAAGACCUAAACCUGCAAUUGAUCAAUAUAUAGUAGAAUGUCAAAAAAAAUAUAUAUUGGGAACAUGUUUUUUUUUCUCCUAACCAAAAGAAGAGACUUUAUUUUCUCAUAUUAACAUUAGGGAUAUUUACGUAAAUCUCAUAGUGUUAAGAGCUAAUUACAUCAUAUUUCUAUUCUUUUCCAAAUUACAAAACGUACCCAAUACACAUCACGUCCCAAUUCCAGAUACAUUGCUAACAUUCCGAUACAUCGCGUCUUGAUCGGAUACAUCACUCAACGUCUCGAUACAUCGCAUUAAAUGAUGUAUCCGACCGAUGCAUUGCAUAAAAUGAUAUAUCCGACCAAUACAUCGUGUAAAGUGAUAUAUCCGAGAAUAGGAGGGAGUAAGGAAUUUUGUAAUUUUUUCAAAUGGUGGAAAAAUUAAAAAAUAUGGUAAAUAAGUUGUGUAUCUAUGGAACAGUGUGUGAGGAAUUAUGUCUUAAAAGAGGGAUUUUUUUUUUUUUGAGAAAGGCUCAAAUACGCCAUCGAAUUUUGAGAAAAGACUCAUCGAUAUCAUCCGUUAAAAGUUUGGUUCAUCUAUGUCAUUUCCACUUGAGAAAGGCUCAACCAUGUCAUUAUCUGUUAACUGAAAUGACAUAGAUGAACCAAACUUUAACUGAUGACAUAGAUGUGCCUUUUCUCAAAGUUUGAUGACAUAUUUAAACUUUUUCCCUUUAAAAAAAAUGAUUUAAUUAGUGACGUGACCAAAUCAUAAUUGACCACGUAAAAAAAUAAUUUUGCAAAAUUGGAACUGUUUUCCUUUAACAAAUAAUGGCAUGAAUGAACCUUCUUUCUCAAACAGAAAUGACAUAAAUGAACCAAACUUUUAACCGAUGGCAUAGAUGAAUCUUUUCUGAAAGUUUGAUGACAUAUUUGAGUUUUUUCAUGUUAAAGAUAGUUUAUGUUGAAUAUAUAAGUUUGGAGAGUCUCCUCUCCACAUGUACUGGUAAUUGUAAAAUCUCCCUAUUAUAGUGAUAUAUGCUUAUUGACUAAGAUAAUUAAAGACUUACCUAAAUCAUUUUGAGCUUGGUUCUAUAAUUUCUAACCAUAUUGGUUUGAUAAAUUGAAACUUCAUGCCAUUGUAAUUGUGUUUACAUACCAAGAGAUAACUUUAAGAUGGGGAAAUCAUGCUCCUUCUGGCAACCACGUCCCUUCUUUCCAUCGCCAAAAUAUCCCUUCGGGCACGAACACUCAAACCCUCCUGGAGUGUUUUUGCAAAUUCCAUCCCAAGGUCUCGUUGCACAUUCAUCGAUAUCUGUUACAAGAAUGCUCAAAUUAGUUCAUCAGAAAGUUAAUGUACCUCUGACAGCUUAAGCUUUUAGAUGAGAUGGUCACACAGUUCAAUAUGGUAUUAGAGCAGACAAAACUCCUGAAAGCAUGUGCUUGACUCUUUCUAAUAGUUUAAGCUUUUUGAUGAGAUGGUCACACAAACCUUGACAGCCUGGACUAAGAUAAGGAUUUCCGUCAUAUCCUUCCUCACAAAUGCAACGAUAACCUCCACGUCGACUUUCAGAAUCAAUACAUAGACUAUGUUCCAUACAUGAAUAAGUUGUUGAGUUUCUAACCACACUGCAAUUUUUAGUCCCAAUUACCCAGUCAAUCACAAUAGGAACAUCAUUCACUAUUCUGUCCACAAAGUUUGGGUCCAUGAAGUCUGAUGUACGCCCCUAAAGGUGAACUUUUCAUGAUCGCCAAGGAACACGUAGCUACAAGGGUUAAAGGACCAUACAUUAGUGUGGUUUCCGGGGCUAUUUACAAAACCUAAAUAAGUCGUCAACCCCUUAGGGAUCGCGGCUUGACAACAACCAAUCUCGGAACAUGUCCCAUUAUUGCUCACAUCCUGACCUCUUGAACAAGUUGUCAUACAACCAGUGCUGAAAUUCUUCCCUUCAUAUAACGAAAAACCAAAAACCAAAAACCAUAGCCAAAUCAUCACAUCCUAUAAGAAUCAACUUGUUAUCAUUCU
rnacentral:lncRNA from 1 species